AAGUCGUAACAAGGUUUCCGUAGGUGAACCUGCGGAAGGAUCAUUAUCACGUAUCCACGUAUAAACCAUUGUGAACCGUUUCUAUCCCUUUGGAGAGAGUGAGGUAGUGGGAUUAUAAACAUAUGGUACUCUAUUUAUUGUGAUUUGUAGUAUCGUUUAUAAUCUCCUAUGGUCUUCGGACUGUACUCGUUCACUUCAAAGUGUAUUUUAAAUCACUCUUAAUUGUAUUAACAACUUAAACCCAACUUUAUAAACUUUGAACUGACUUAUUUCUUACUCUUCGGAGAAGAAAUUCAUUACGAAACAUAAGAACAACUCUUAGCAACGGAUAUCUUGGUUCUC
rnacentral:misc_RNA from 1 species